UGACAGUAGCUGCCAUUUGCCAAUCUC
rnacentral:piRNA from 1 species